GAUGAACGCUGGCGGCGUGCCUAAUACAUGCAGGUCGAGCGAACAGAUGAGGAGCUUGCUCCUCUGACGUUAGCGGCGGACGGGUGAGUAACACGUGGAUAACCUACCUAUAAGACUGGGAUAACUUCGGGAAACCGGAGCUAAUACCGGAUAAUAUAUUGAACCGCAUGGUUCAAUAGUGAAAGACGGUUUUGCUGUCACUUAUAGAUGGAUCCGCGCCGCAUUAGCUGGUUGGUAAGGUAACGGCUUACCAAGGCAACGAUGCGUAGCCGACCUGAGAGGGUGAUCGGCCACACUGGAACUGAGACACGGUCCAGACUCCUACGGGAGGCAGCAGUAGGGAAUCUUCCGCAAUGGGCGAAAGCCUGACGGAGCAACGCCGCGUGAGUGAUGAAGGUCUUCGGAUCGUAAAACUCUGUUAUUAGGGAAGAACAAAUGUGUAAGUAACUAUGCACGUCUUGACGGUACCUAAUCAGAAAGCCACGGCUAACUACGUG
rnacentral:rRNA from 1 species